UACGAAGGGGGCUAGCGUUGCUCGGAAUUACUGGGCGUAAAGGGCUCGUAGGCGGUUGUUUAAGUCAGGGGUGAAAGCCCUGGGCUCAACCUUGGAACUGCCUUUGAUACUGGGCAUCUUGAGUAUGGGAGAGGUGAGUGGAACUCCGAGUGUAGAGGUGAAAUUCGUAGAUAUUCGGAAGAACACCAGUGGCGAAGGCGACGCACUGGCCCAGUACUGACGCUGAGGCGCGAAAGCGUGGGGAGCAAACAGG
rnacentral:rRNA from 1 species